UGCAUAUCAAAAAGCGGAGGAAAAGAAACCAACAGGGAUUGCCCUAGUAACGGCGAGUGAACAGGCAAGAGCUCAGAUUUGAAAGGCACUUUUGUGCCGUUGUAUUCUGAAGUUAGGGUCCUGAGAAACGAUGCUUAAGUCUUCUGGAAAGGAGCGCCAUGGAGGGUGAUAGCCCCGUCUAGCAUUGACCUCAUAUAGGAUCUUAACAUGGAGUCGAGUUGUUUGGGAAUGCAGCUCAAAUGGGUGGUAUGCUCCAUCUAAAGCUAAAUAUCUGCGAGAGACCGAUAGUAAACAAGUACUGUGAGGGAAAGAUGAAAAGAACUUUGAAAAGAGAGUGAAAAAGUACGUGAAAUUGUUGAAAUGGAAGGGUAGGCCGCUAACCAUGUAGAGCCGUGUUUGGGGGGAAGAUAAAUGCUGUAGAAUGUAGCUCCUCGGAGUAUUAUAGAUGCAGUUCAUAUUCCCACCCGAGCGCGAGGAUCUCAGGUUCUACUAAAUGGUGGUCUACCACCCGUCUUGAAACAACGGACCA
rnacentral:rRNA from 1 species